rnacentral:pre_miRNA from 1 species
AUAAUACUCCCUCCGUUCCAAAUUACUCGUCAUAGAAAUGGAUGUAUCUAGAACUAAAAUACAUCUACAUACAUCCAUACCUGCAACAAGUAAUUCGGAACGGAGGGAGUAUAAG